rnacentral:piRNA from 1 species
CUCAUAGAUCCACCUGCCACUGCUUCC